UCUACUUUUCACUAUAAUCAGUCAUAUAUGUUCCAUUUUUCUCAACCAAAAAUCAGUUACCAAAAAUUGAAAAUCAACUCCUUUGUUUUCUUUGAUUCCAACCACCACCGUCAACCACCAUCUACCACCACCACAACAGUCAAUCACUACCCACCGUUAUCCGCCACCACCACGACCAAACACUCCGCACUGCCCUGACCACCCAUCACCACCACAACCACCCCCUUGCUUUCUCUCCUCUCCUCGCAACUUCACACUCCCCUGCCCCCAUCUUUCUUGCCUCCGCCGCACCACCUAGCCACACAACUGCCACACUCCGGCCACUCUCACCAGUUUUCAACCAACUACCGCCCCAAAAACUCCGGCUGGCCACCCUGCCUCCGCCCAGAACCGCCCUCAACUCCCCUGUUUUGUUCGGCCAUUUCAUGCCCUUUCUCUCUCUCCCUCGUCGUUCCGCCGCCACCAACCACCUAUCUCCUCCGCCUCAUUCACCGGCACAGCCUCCGACACCGAGCCGCCCAAGUCGAGCCACCGCCUCCUUAUUUCCUCCCUUUCCCCUUCCUCUGCUGCUCGCCUUCCUCUUCUCUGUUUUGGUCGACUUCCAGGAAAACCAAAAAAAACCAAAUACCUGGCCUUGUUUUAUUAUUUUAACCAAACCCCAAAUUACAAGUUGGCCCAACUCUAGAUCUUUGGGCUUUAGAAAUUGGACUCGGGGCUCAGGAAGGACGAUCCAUCAAACAGGAAGUAUAAAAACUACGGUUGAGGUACUGCUGGGGACCAUGGAAACGAGUAGUGGCGAGGAUUUCACUAUUACAAUGUUCACCUAAGUUAAUGUUAAGUUGUAACAAGUUUAAGUAAAGAUUCUUGAUUAAGUUACGUACUUUUAUUAAGGAAUUAAAAAGGAUUAUUAUGUUAAUUUUGGAGUUUAAUAGCUUAUGAUUGAUGGUUGCCUUGUAAUUCCCAAGAGUGAGUUACAGCAGUAAUGUCGGGGCGUUACAAUAUUUGUUCUUAAUCCAAAUAUAAUAUGAUUUGGCAUGA